rnacentral:rRNA from 1 species
UACGGAGGGUGCAAGCGUUAAUCGGAAUUACGGGGCGUAAAGCGCACGUAGGUGGUUUGCUAAGCCAGCUGUGAAAUCCCCGGGCUCAACCUGGGCACUGCAGUUGGAACUGGCAAGCUAGAGUAGGGUAGAGGGGUGUGGAAUUCCAGGUGUAGCGGUGAAAUGCGUAGAUAUCUGGAGGAACAUCAGUGGCGAGGGCGACACCCUGGACUCAUACUGACACUGAGGUGCGAAAGCGUGGGGAGCAAACAGG